rnacentral:rRNA from 1 species
GAUGAACGCUGGCGGCGUGCCUAAUACAUGCAAGUCGAGCGAACAGACGAGGAGCUUGCUCCUCUGACGUUAGCGGCGGACGGGUGAGUAACACGUGGAUAACCUACCUAUAAGACUGGGAUAACUUCGGGAAACCGGAGCUAAUACCGGAUAAUAUAUUGAACCGCAUGGUUCAAUAGUGAAAGACGGUUUUGCUGUCACUUAUAGAUGGAUCCGCGCCGCAUUAGCUAGUUGGUAAGGUAACGGCUUACCAAGGCAACGAUGCGUAGCCGACCUGAGAGGGUGAGUCGCCACACUGGAACUGAGACACGGGCCCGAAUCCUACGGGAGGCAGCAGUAGGGAAUCUUCCGCAAUGGGCGAAAGCUUGACGGAGCAACGCCGCGUGAGUGAAGAAGGUCUUCGGAUCGUAAAACUCUUUUAUUAGGGAAGAACAAAUGUGUAAGUAACUAUGCACGUCUUGACGGUACCUAAUCAGAAAGCCACGGCUAACUACGUG